CUUGGUUGAUCCUACCAGUACCAUAUGCUUGUCUCAAAGAUUAUGCCAUACAUGUCUAAGUAGGCAGGGCCGGUACAGUGAAACUGCGAAUGGCUCAUUAAAUCAGUUAUGGUUCUUUUGGUCGCUCGCUCCUCUCCUACUUGGAAAACUGUGGUAAUUCUAGAGCUAAUGCAUGCCGAAGGGUGCUGACCCCCUUCGCGGGGAAGAUGCCUGCAUUUAUCAGAUCAAAACCAACCCGGUCAGCCCCUCUCCGGCCCCUGCCUAGGGGUCGAGUGCCACCGGCUUUGGUGACUCUAGAUAGCCUCGGGCCAAUCGCAUGCCCCCCUGUGGCAGCAACGACCCAUUCGAACGUCUGCCCUAUCAACUUUCGAUGGUAGUCGCUGUGCCUACCAAGGUGACCACGGGUGAAGGAGAAUCAGGGUUCGAUUCUGGAGAGGGAGCCUGAGAAAUGGCUACCACAUUCAAGGAAGGCAGCAGGCAUGCAAAUUACCCACUCCUGACUCGAGGAGGUAGUGAUGAAACAUAACAAUACAGGACUCUUUCGAGGUCCUGUAAUUGGAAUGAGUCCACUUUAAAUCCUUUAACGAAGAUCCAUUGGAGGGCAAGUUUAGUGCCAGCAGCCGCGGUAAUUCCAGCUCCAAUAGCGUAUAUUAAAGUUGCUGCAGUUAAAAAGCUCCUAGUUGGAUCUUGGGAGCGGGCGGGCAGUCCGCCAUGAGGCGAGCCACUGCCCGUCCCCGCCCCUUGCCUCUUGGCGCCCCCUCGAUGCUCUUAGCUGAGUGUUCCGCGGCCCAAAGCGUUUACUUUGAAAAAAUUAGAGUGUUCAAAGCAGGUCCAAGCCGCCUGGAUACCGCAGCUAGGAAUAAUGGAAUAGGACCGCGGUUCUAUUUUGUUGGUUUAUGGAACUGAGGCCAUGAUUAAGAGGGACAGCUGGGGGCAUUUGUAUUGCACCGCUAGAGGUGAAAUUCUUGGACCGGCGCAGUUUGGACCAGAGUGAAAGCAUUUGCCAAGAAUGUUUUCAUUAAUCAAGAAUGAAAGUCGGAGGUUCGAAGACGAUCAGAUACCGUGGUAGUUCUGACCAUAAACGAUGCCGACUGGCAACGUGGCGGUGUUAUUCCCAUGACCCGCUGGGCAGCUUCCAAGAAACCAAAGUCUUUGGGUUUUUAGGUUCCGGGGGGAGUACGGUUGCAAAGCUGAAACUUAAAGGAAUUGGUGGAAGGGCACCACCAGGAGUGGAGCCUGCGGCUUAAUUUGACUCAACAUGGGAAAAAUCCCCCGGGCCGGACAGGGACAGGAUUGACAGAUUGAUAGCUGUUUCUCUGUUCCAUGGGUGGUGGUGCAUGGCCUUAGUUGGUGGAGUGAUUUGUCUGGUUAAUUCCAAUAACCAACGAGACUCUGGCAUGCUAACUAGUUACGUGACCCCCGAGCGGUCGGCGUCCCCCAACUUCUUAGAGGGACAAGUG
rnacentral:rRNA from 1 species